rnacentral:misc_RNA from 1 species
GAUGAAGAACGUAGCGAAAUGCGAUAAGUAAUGUGAAUUGCAGAAUUCAGUGAAUCAUCGAAUCUUUGAACGCACAUUGCGCCCGCCAGUAUUCUGGCGGGCAUGCCUGUCUGAGCGUCAUUUCAACCCUCAUGCCCCUAGGGCGUGGUGUUGGGGAUCGGCCAAAGCCCGCGAGGGACGGCCGGCCCCUAAAUCUAGUGGCGGACCCGUCGUGGCCUCCUCUGCGAGGUAGUGAUAUUCCGCAUCGGAGAGCGAUGAGCCCCUGCCGUUAAACCCCCAACUUUCCAAGGUUGACCUCAGAUCAGGUAGGAAUACCCGCUGAACUUAAGCAUAUCAAUAAGCGGAGGA